rnacentral:ncRNA from 1 species
UACAUUUGUAUAAUUAUACAUGCAUCUGAUAAUAAUAUUUUUAAUUUUUUAUUAGUAAUCAAAUACUUUAAUAUAAAAGUAUAAAAACUUGGCUCUGAUUUUGAAUAUAGCAAAUAUUAAGAAAUACACAUGGUUUUUGUAGAAAUAGGCAAGGUAAAGAAUAAUUUUAUGUAAUAAAAAAUUUAUAUACAUAUAUAUUUCUUUAUAACAUUAUAGAUAUAUAAAAUGUUUUGAUAUGUCCUGCUAACACCAGUGUCAGAGAUUGUUAUAUAGGCAAAAGCCUGCAACAACUUAGUAAAUUAGGCUUGGUUAAUUUGGUGCCAGCAUCCGCGGUUAUACCAAAAAGCUAAGUUAUAUUUUAUGGUAAAAAGAUAGUUAGAUAAAUUAUUAAGUUAUAUAUUAUUUAUAUAGAAGUAAAAUUUGAAUAUAAAUGUUAUUAUUUGAUAAACUGAAUAAAUUGAACCUAUGACAUCUUUGAAAGAAACUGGGAUUGGAUACCCCAUUAUUCUUAGUUGUAAAUUUAAUUAAUAUUUACCUGAGUACUACGAAUAGUAUAAUUUAAAACUCAAAGAGCUUGGCGGUGUUUUAGACCACUUAGGGGAACCUGUCUCGUAAUCGACAAUCCACGUUAGACCUAACCUUUUUUUGCUUUCAGCUUGUAUACCAUUGUCGUCAGGUAACUUUUAAAAAAAUUAAAGCUAGCUAGAUAAUUUUAAAUUAAAACGUCAAAUCAAGGUGCAGCUUAUAAAAAGGUGUAGAUGGGUUACAAUUAUAAAUUUAUAAUUACGGACAAUUAAAAGAAAUUUUAGAUAGAAGGAGGACUUAAAAGUAAUAUAAUAUAUAUAAAUUAUUUGAAUAAGGCUCUGAAACGCGCACACAUCGCCCGUCGCUCUCGUUGAAAAAUGAGAUAAGUCGUAACAUAGUAGAGGUAAUGGAAAUUGUUUCUGAAUU